rnacentral:lncRNA from 1 species
CAGCCAUGGUGCUGUUCAUUGGUUCACUUCUUGCGGCCCAGUGGAUUGACAAAAUCACCGUCUACGGCAGCAGCUUCGUUGGACGCCAUAUUGAUGACAGCU